rnacentral:rRNA from 1 species
UACAGAGGUCUCAAGCGUUGUUCGGAUUCAUUGGGCGUAAAGGGUGUGUAGGUGGCGCCGUAAGUCGGGUGUGAAAUUUCGGAGCUUAACUCCGAAACUGCAUUCGAUACUGCGGUGCUUGAGGACUGGAGAGGAGACUGGAAUUCAUGGUGUAGCAGUGAAAUGCGUAGAGAUCAUGAGGAAGACCAGUGGCGAAGGCGGGUCUCUGGACAGUUACUGACGCUGAGACGCGAAAGCGUGGGGAGCAAACAGG